rnacentral:rRNA from 1 species
ACUGCUCAGUAACACGUGGAUAACCUGCCCUUGGGUCCGGCAUAACCCCGGGAAACUGGGGAUAAUUCCGGAUAACGCAUAUGUGCUGGAAUGCUUUAUGCGUCAAAUGGAUUCGUCUGCCCAAGGAUGGGUCUGCGGCCUAUCAGGUAGUAGUGGGUGUAAUGUACCUACUAGCCGACAACGGGUACGGGUUGUGAGAGCAAGAGCCCGGAGAUGGAUUCUGAGACAUGAAUCCAGGCCCUACGGGGCGCAGCAGGCGCGAAAACUUUACAAUGCGGGAAACCGUGAUAAGGGGACACCGAGUGCCAGCAUCAUAUGCUGGCUGUCCGGGUGUGUAAAAUACACCUGUUAGCAAGGGCCGGGCAAGACCGGUGCCAGCCGCCGCGGUAACACCGGCGGCCCGAGUGGUGAUCGUGAUUAUUGGGUCUAAAGGGUCCGUAGCCGGUUUGGUCAGUCCUCCGGGAAAUCUGAUAGCUCAACUAUUAGGCUUUCGGGGGAUACUGCCAGGCUUGGAACCGGGAGAGGUAAGAGGUACUACAGGGGUAGGAGUGAAAUCUUGUAAUCCCUGUGGGACCACCUGUGGCGAAGGCGUCUUACCAGAACGGGUUCGACGGUGAGGGACGAAAGCUGGGGGCACGAACCGGAUUAGAUACCCGGGUAGUCCCAGCCGUAAACGAUGCUCGCUAGGUGUCAGGCAUGGCGCGACCGUGUCUGGUGCCGCAGGGAAGCCGUGAAGCGAGCCACCUGGGAAGUACGGCCGCAAGGCUGAAACUUAAAGGAAUUGGCGGGGGAGCAC